rnacentral:pre_miRNA from 1 species
GCAACUUAGGGCCUGAUCCAAAGCUCGGUGAAGUCAAUGGGUGUCUUUCCAUUGACUCCAGUGGAUUUUGGAUCAGCCCCACAUUCC